rnacentral:rRNA from 1 species
UUACAGUGAAGAGUUUGAUCCUGGCUCAGGAUGAACGCUAGCUACAGGCUUAACACAUGCAAGUCGAGGGGCAGCGAGAAGAAAGCUUGCUUUCUUUGUCGGCGACCGGCGCACGGGUGAGUAACGCGUAUCCAACCUUC